rnacentral:rRNA from 1 species
AGCGAACGCUGGCGGCAGGCCUAACACAUGCAAGUCGAACGAACUCUUCGGAGUUAGUGGCGGACGGGUGAGUAACACGUGGGAACGUGCCUUUAGGUUCGGAAUAACUCAGGGAAACUUGUGCUAAUACCGAAUGUGCCCUUCGGGGGAAAGAUUUAUCGCCUUUAGAGCGGCCCGCGUCCUAUUAGCUAGUUGGUGAGGUAACGGCUCACCAAGGCGACGAUCAGUAGCUGGUCUGAGAGGAUGGCCAGCCACACUGGGACUGAGACACGGACCAGACUCCUACGGGAGGCAGCAGUGGGGAAUCUUGCGCAAUGGGCGAAAGCCUGACGCAGCCAUGCCGCGUGAAUGAUGAAGGUCUUAGGAUUGUAAAAUUCUCUCACCGGGGACGAUAAUGACGGUACCCGGAGAAGAAGCCCCGGCUAACUUCGUGCCAGCCGCCGCCGUAA